AGUAAAAUAUAAUUAAAAUGUUACAUGUUAAAGAACUGGAAUAAAGUUGGUGUGACGUUGGAUGUUCGAUAUUCGCGGAUAUGCGGCAAUCAAGGGACCGUGUCGCAUUGAUUAUAAAAUACAUUUAUCAACUUAUAAAGCACUAAACGGUCUCGCGCCACAGUAUCUAAGCGACCUUUUGGUUUUCUAUGAUCCGCCACGCCUACUUAGAUCAAAAGAUGCAGGCUAUUUGACGGUAUCGAAUAGUGAAGGCUACAGCAGGGGGGAGAGCUUUCUCUUAUAGAGCCCCACAGUUAUGGAACAGUCUUCCUAUUAGUGUUCGGGACUCAGACACAGUCUCAGUGUUUAAGUCUAGGCUUCAAACGUAUUUGUUUACUCAAGCCUACCCUGACUAGACUUUCUGUUACGCUAAGCACAGUCCUAAUAAUCUUUUCUCUCCCUCUCUCCUUCUGCCGAGCCACACACGAUUUUAUGGAGAUACUAGAGAUCCAGAUCCUCUCUGCUCUCCGGACCUGCCUGAUCCGUUUCGGAUGUCCUACCUCUAGAAGGAGCUCUCAUCUACUCCAAUUCCAGACUGCUGGGACUACGGCUGCUCCUAAGGCCAAACAGACUACAUAUAAAUCCAUAAUGAACUUUUUCACACUAUCUGUUGUUACCCAGAUGAGGAUGGGUUCCCUUCUGAGUCUGGUUCCUCUCAAGGUUUCUUCCUCUUAACAUCUUAGGGAGUUUUUCCUUGCCACCGUCGCCACUCAGUGGCUUGCUCAGUUGGGAUAAAUUCGCACUUUUAAUAUCUGUAUACCAUGUUGAUAUUUCUGUAAAGCUGCUUUGAUACAACGUCUAUUGUAAAAAGCGCUGUACAAAUAAAAUUGAAUUGAAAAAGUCUCUAAAGUUACAUACGACAUUGUUAAACACGUUUAUAACUUCAAUAGCAUUUGAAAGGAAUGACUUACAGUCAUAUAACCUACUGUAAAGUGUUCAUCUAGGUGUCAGGUAUGAGACCCACCUUUUAGAUUUUUGAUAUUUCUCAAAAUAAAUUAUUAAAAGACUAAAAGUUCUCUCAGUACUGUGGCACAAGACCAUUUAGUGCUUUAUAAAAUAAUAAUAGUAUUUUAUAAUCAAUGUGAGAUUUCACUGGGAGCCAAUGCAGUGUGGAUAAGAUCGGGGUGAUGUGGUCGUAUCUUCUGGGUCGAGUUAGGACUCUAGCAGCUGCGUUCUGGACUAACUGGAGUGUGUUUAUGGAAUACCCAGAUAGCAAGGCAUUACAGUAAUCCAACCUAAAGAGAACAUGAGUGACUCAUUCAUCAUUCCAGUGGCUGUAAUCAGCACAGGACUCACUACAAGGCAGUGUUUUUUUAUUAUCUAACUUGGUUUAACUAUGACGGCCAUCUUUGUGUCAUGGCACACAACACAUUUUGGUUAUACACCUGUUCACAGAAACCUCAACGUCUCCUAGCUGCUUGGAACAAAAACUGAUCUGUAGAGCACAUUACGAGAUUCAGGAGGAGAUGCUGUGUGUUAAAUCAGUCAUAAGAGGAAUUGAUGUGGUGGUGGUGGAGCAGGGGAGUGAUGAGAAGAUGGUACUGGAGCGUCCGAUAGAUGGGCGAGAGUUUUUCCUUUUCUCUGGAGGAUACAAGUCGGUGAAAAAAGAGACAUGAACAAAAGUGCAGGUUACUGACGGUGAUGAUAUUCACGGGAACAAUCACAGGAUGCUCCGUACUCGGCGUGUUGAUUUACAGUACACUCAACACGGAGAAGAAGAGGCACUAGAUAACACACACACACACCUCUACAGUGAAUACGUGUGCUCUGUGUGUGUGUGAAGUUGUGUAAAUGAGUGGUGUGCGGUGAGUCGUGCUGUUAAGAGGAAAAUACUCGACUGGGUGGUGUGAUGAAAUGGAGCUACUGUUCAUUAUUUUCCUAACAGCACGUCUUCAAGGGUUUUAUUCCCUUAAUUAUUUGUUCUCAUGUUACAGAAGCUAUAAACAGUCGUUCCCUCACCAGCCUCUCUCUAUUCUCUCUCUUUAUUCUCUCAUAACAUCGCAUUGUGGUGUUAGGGAGAAACAGUAAAGAAGUGUAAACUCCUCUGUCCUGAAGACGUUGAAAACUUAAAGUUACAGCUUCACCUCUGACUGUCACACAGCGCUGACCCUGGAGACUCCUUCCAUACACGUUACAUCAACACAAUUAUCCUUGCAGAUCAAAGAUUAUAAACGGUUUUUAGUCAGUUUAUCAUCAGUAGAGCGUGCGCUGUACACGUCCCUGUGAACGAGCCGUUGCUAUAGAAACGAAAACAUAUUAGAAUUAGAGCGAGUGCUUUAAUAUAAACCUGCGCUACUCUCAGAGCUGCUGUUCUAGAGAACUAAUCAGUCGUGU